GACGAACGCUGGCGGCGUGCUUAACACAUGCAAGUCGAACGGAAAGGCCCUGCUUUUGUGGGGUGCUCGAGUGGCGAACGGGUGAGUAACACGUGAGUACCUGCCCUUGACUUUGGGAUAACUUCAGGAAACUGGGGCUAAUACCGGAUAGGAGCUCCUGCUGCAUGGUGGGGGUUGGAAAGUUUCGGCGGUUGGGGAUGGACUCGCGGCUUAUCAGCUUGUUGGUGGGGUAGUGGCUUACCAAGGCUUUGACGGGUAGCCGGCCUGAGAGGGUGACCGGCCACAUUGGGACUGAGAUACGGCCCAGACUCCUACGGGAGGCAGCAGUGGGGAAUAUUGCACAAUGGGCGGGAGCCUGAUGCAGCAACGCCGCGUGCGGGAUGACGGCCUUCGGGUUGUAAACCGCUUUCGCCUGUGACGAAGCGUGAGUGACGGUAAUGGGUAAAGAAGCACCGGCUAACUACGUG
rnacentral:rRNA from 1 species